GAAUUUAAAUACAAUUCAAUAGCAAACAUUGAAAAAACUAUGACAGUGUAUGUUUUUUUUUUAAUUUGAUGCAAGACAUUCAGUGUCGGGUGAUUGCAGGGAGAUAGGUGCCUGUCUUCAGGUGCAGUGUCUUGUAUGCUGUGGUCAGUCUAAAUUAAUUGAGUCUUGAUGUGUUCCAUUCAGUAGACCUGUGGAAAUAUACUGCAAAGCAUAUACUUGUUUUAAAAACAUGAUUACUAACACCAUUCAAAACAAGACCUGUUUAGUUGAAAGCCCACUCACCACGUCAAGGUACAGGUUAUGGGUGGGGUGUUAGUGAGACAGGACAAGACAAGACAAGACAAGGUGUAGGAGCCAUUUCUAUCCACCUUUUAGUUAGGUUUAUUUUAAUGUUACUUAUUUUAGCCACUUGGGCGAGUAUUGCACUGGGUGUGGCUCGUCACAGGAAAUUGGGUAUAUCUACAGGUGUGAUUACUCAAUUAGGGAAAGGUGUGGAUGGCGGGGAACACACGCCGUCCACACUGAGGCUUAUAGGAUAGCCUCCACACAAGGUUAAUGAAAAAGAAAAGGAUGCUUAGAUACUUUUAAAUAACAAAUGUGUAUAACAGACAUAUGUGACAGACAUACAAACUUCACAGGGACAUACAUAGAACAUGGUAUACAUAUAACAUACAUUUAAAGGGGAAAAUGGAGAGAGAACCAAACUUACCUGUCCCCUUACAAAAAACAGUAAAUACAACCUGUGACGCACGUCUAACCCCAGGUGUGCGCUGACAGAUUGCACGCCGCACUUGGGAACCGUAAAGGACUUCCUACAAGCGCAACGCACGCACUGCUCGCUGACCACACCUGUAAGACAGUAAAAACAAGGCACAUCUUUCUAACCCCAGGUGUGCGCUAACCACACCUGUAAGACAAAGUCUAACCCAUGUGACCGGUGACAGAAGCAAGGCAUGUCUAACUCCAAGUGACUGGCAUUGACUAGGGAACGCCAGCAGCAGGGCACAACUUUACCUUAUCUAACCGAACCUGUAAAGCUACAGUACGACGCAUUUAACCCCAGGUGUCCGCUGACCGAACCUGUAAAGCUACAGUACGACGCAUUUAACCCCAGGUGUCCGCUGACCGAACCUAUAAAGCUACAGUACAACGCAUUUAACCCCAGGUGUCCGCUGACCGAACCUAUAAAGCUACAGUACAACGCAUUUAACCCCAGGUGUCCGCUGACCGAACCUAUAAAGCUACAGUACAACGCAUUUAACCCCAGGUGUCCGCUGACCAAACCUGUAAAGCUACAGUACAACGCAUUUAAACCCAGGUGUCCGCUGACCAAACCUGUAAAGCUUUAUUUUAACGCAGACCAACGAGACGGGGCAGUAGCACCACGCCAUCUGGCUUAAUGCCAUUGAUACAGCUUAAAGUUCUUUCCGUAACACAACUAUGUGCUGUCCAGUCACGACACCACAACGUGUAUGCGUCUGUGGUAAGGGCGUGGAACACGGCUUUGUCCUGUGAAAACAAAAAAACCCAGAGUAAACUUCCACAAAACAAUAACAGAUACUGGUAGGUUGUCAGACUAGAGAGAAAAUAGAAACUACUUACAGUGGAACGUUGUUUGUGAUCUGCAGCAAUCACUGCAACGCACGUAUUCACAAUCUACAAGAAAGAAAAAGAAAUUUGAUGACAACAUGAUAGGAAAAAAGUAAAAUAAAAAUGUAUUUCUAAGUUUUACUUACAUCAUCGGUCAGCCAGUUGAACUCUGGGCCUGCCAGACUGUCUAAGUCGCGAAACGUGGCACGACAACUUCCAAUGCUGAUCAAGACCGCGUCUUUGUCCACAUCAUUGCGGAUCUGUUGCGUCAGUACCUGAUGGAUUGGAAGCAUGUGUACAGAAGUUACACAUAAUGUCCACCCCAAACUACUACUAAAUGGAAAAGACGGUUCACAUGGUAGACUAUAGACCAUUUUACCUUUGCAGCAAAAGGCACAGGAAACUUCUCCUCCAAAGUUAGAGACUACAUACAGAAAAACAGUGAAUGAUUUAAAUAACCAACAGAUCAAAAGAAGAAAGCAGAAGAAACUAAUACAUUGAAACGAACACUAAUACAUUUUAGAAAAUGUACCUCGUCCUCUGAACUUAUGGAGACAGUAGGAAUAUCUGAAAUUGGGAAAAACACACACACACAAACACAAACCAUUCAGCAUCUACUAUACAUAGACAUCUAUGUAUGUA
ensembl:lncRNA